AGGUUACUGCUAUCGGUGUUCGCCUAAGCCAUGCGAGUCAUAUGUUCUUCGUGAACAUGGCGUACUGCUCAGUAACACGUGGAUAACCUGCCCUUGGGUCCGGCAUAACCCCGGGAAACUGGGGAUAAUUCCGGAUAACGCACAUAUGCUGGAAUGCUUUAUGCGUCAAAUGGAUUCGUCCGCCCAAGGAUGGGUCUGCGGCCUAUCAGGUAGUAGUGGGUGUAAUGUACCUACUAGCCUACGACGGGUACGGGUUGUGAGAGCAAGAGCCCGGAGAUGGAUUCUGAGACAUGAAUCCAGGCCCUACGGGGCGCAGCAGGCGCGAAAACUUUACAAUGCGGGAAACCGUGAUAAGGGGACACCGAGUGCCAGCAUCAUAUGUUGGCUGUCCGGGUGUGUAAAAUACACCUGUUAGCAAGGGCCGGGCAAGGCCGGUGCCAGCCGCCGCGGUAACACCGGCGGCCCGAGUGGUGAUCGUGAUUAUUGGGUCUAAAGGGUCCGUAGCCGGUUUGGUCAGUCCUCCGGGAAAUCUGACGGCUUAACCGUUAGGCUUUCGGGGGAUACUGCCAGACUUGGAACCGGGAGAGGUAAGAGGUACUACAGGGGUAGGAGUGAAAUCUUGUAAUCCCUGUGGGACCACCUGUGGCGAAGGCGUCUCACCAGAACGGGUUCGACGGUGAGGGACGAAAGCCGGGGGCACGAACCGGAUUAGAUACCCGGGUAGUCCCAGCCGUAAACGAUGCUCGCUAGGUGUCAGGCAUGGCGCGACCGUGUCUGGUGCCGCAGGGAAGCCGUGAAGCGAGCCACCUGGGAAGUACGGCCGCAAGGCUGAAACUUAA
rnacentral:rRNA from 1 species